GGUUGUGGCUCAGAGGUAGAAUGCUUGCCUAGCAUGCAAGAAGCAGUGGGUUCAAUCCUCAGCACCA
rnacentral:tRNA from 1 species